rnacentral:rRNA from 1 species
UGGCGGACGGGUGAGUAAUGUCUGGGAAACUGCCCGGUGGAGGGGGAUAACUACUGGAAACGGUAGCUAAUACCGCAUAACGUCGCAAGACCAAAGAGGGGGACCUUAGGGCCUCUUGCCAUCGGAUGUGCCCAGAUGGGAUUAGCUAGUAGGUGGGGUAAUGGCUCACCUAGGCGACGAUCCCUAGCUGGUCUGAGAGGAUGACCAGCCACACUGGAACUGAGACACGGUCCAG